AUUUCCAGUAGGGAUUUGGAUGCUUGAUGCAUGUCAAACCUUCUCUUUUCAUGAGUUGAGUGCUUUCCACAUUAGCACAGUUACCACCAUCAAUGAUCAUUCCAUAUAUCUUACCAUUGAUAAAGCAUCGCGUGUGGAAGAUGUUAUCUCUCUACUUGUUAUUUUCAUUCAUAACUUGCACGUUGAGAGCUCUUCGGAUAAUAAGGACAUUACUCCUAAAUGGAGCAUUUUCAAUGGAUUGAGACAGAGUGUAGUACCAGCAAUAAAGGUUAGUGAAAAUAAU
rnacentral:lncRNA from 1 species